rnacentral:rRNA from 1 species
GACGAACGCUGGCGGCGUGCUUAACACAUGCAAGUCGAACGGAAAGGCCCCUUUGGGGGUACUCGAGUGGCGAACGGGUGAGUAACACGUGAGUAACCUGCCCUUGACUUCGGGAUAACUUCAGGAAACUGGGGCUAAUACCGGAUAGGAAUCCUUGCUGCAUGGUGGGGGUUGGAAAGCUUCGGCGGUUUUGGAUGGACUCGCGGCUUAUCAGCUUGUUGGUGGGGUAGUGGCUUACCAAGGCUUUGACGGGUAGCCGGCCUGAGAGGGCGACCGGCCACAUUGGGACUGAGAUACGGCCCAGACUCCUACGGGAGGCAGCAGUGGGGAAUAUUGCACAAUGGGCGGAAGACUGAUGCAGCAACGCCGCGUGCGGGAUGACGGCCUUCGGGUUGUAAACCGCUUUCAGCAGGGGCGAAGCUUGUGGUGACGGUACCUGCAGAAGAAGCACCGGCUAACUACGUG